rnacentral:rRNA from 1 species
CCUACGGGAGGCAGCAGUGAGGAAUAUUGGUCAAUGGACGAGAGUCUGAACCAGCCAAGUAGCGUGAAGGAUGACUGCCCUAUGGGUUGUAAACUUCUUUUAUAUGGGAAUAAAAUGUUCCACGUGUGGGAUUUUGUAUGUACCAUAUGAAUAAGGAUCGGCUAACUCCGUGCCAGCAGCCGCGGUAAUACGGAGGAUCCGAGCGUUAUCCGGAUUUAUUGGGUUUAAAGGGAGCGUCGGUGGAUUGUUAAGUCAGUUGUGAAAGUUUGCGGCUCAACCGUAAAAUUGCAGUUGAAACUGGCAGUCUUGAGUACAGUAGAGGUGGGCGGAAUUCGUGGUGUAGCGGUGAAAUGCUUAGAUAUCACGAAGAACUCCGAUUGCGAAGGCAGUUCACUGGACUGCAACUGACACUGAGGCUCGAAAGUGUGGGUAUCAAACAGGAUUAGAUACCCGAGUAGUC